rnacentral:rRNA from 1 species
GCAUGCCUUACACAUGCAAGUCGAACGGCAGCGGGCUCUUCGGAGUGCCGGCGAGUGGCAAACGGGUGAGUAUAACAUCGGAACAUGCCCAGUAGUGGGGGAUAGCUCGGCGAAAGCCGAAUUAAUACCGCAUACGACCUUCGGGUGAAAGGGGGGGAUCUUCGGACCUCUCGCUACUGGAGUGGCCGAUGCCUGAUUAGUUUGUUGGUGGGGUAAAGGCCUACCAAGACUGCGAUCAGUAGCUGGUCUGAGAGGACGAUCAGCCACACUGGGACUGAGACACGGCCCAGACUCCUACGGGAGGCAGCAGUGGGGAAUCUUGGACAAUGGGCGAAAGCCUGAUCCAGCAAUGCCGCGUGUGCGAUGAAGGCUUUCGGGUUGUAAAGCACUUUUGUCAGGGAAGAAAUGGUUUGGGUUAAUACCUCAGACUUCUGACGGUACCCGAAUAAGAAGGUC